rnacentral:lncRNA from 1 species
UUAUGAAAAAUCUGACUUGAGCGUCAGAGGAUCCCCACCGGAGUCAUCUUUGACGGAGGCUUUUUUUGUAGGUCCGGCCACUGUUGAUACACCGAACAUCAUCCCAUUCCAGCGCCUCUGGCUCAGAAUGGAUUCUAGCCGCAACUGAAAACAAACUGAAGUUCCUUGUAAAGGAUCAAACAAGGUGUGAAUCAGAGGUUAAAUCAUGAUUUUGUCAAGAAAUAUGACAUCAUGAGGAAUAUUAUCAAAUAACAUCAGAAGAGGAUUUCUACUACGUCCAUGCAUACCAGAAAUCCUUUAUAAUUUACCA